UACGUAGGUGGCAAGCGUUAUCCGGAAUUAUUGGGCGUAAAGAGCGCGCAGGUGGUUGAUUAAGUCUGAUGUGAAAGCCCACGGCUUAACCGUGGAGGGUCAUUGGAAACUGGUCGACUUGAGUGCAGGAGAGGUUAUCGGAAUUCCCGGUGUAGCGGUGAAAUGCGUAGAGAUCGGGAGGAACACCAGUGGCGAAGGCGGGUAACUGGACUGCAACUGACGCUGAGGCGCGAAAGUGUGGGGAGCAAACAGGAUUAGAUACCCUGGUAGU
rnacentral:rRNA from 1 species